CUCCAGCACACAGUAAAACAGCCAGUCGCUCGGCGGAGGAGGCAGGCGGACGGAUGCACGUGCAGUCGGCUCCCGUGUUGGGGUCCACAGUAAUUAAAGACAUCCAUCAGAUUAUGACAGUAAUGUUGGGAAGCAUGACACCGUGGGACCCGGAAUGUGACCAGGGUAACCAUGACGGCCGCAAUCAAACACAGAUGAUGUUCGACAGCAAGAUUCCUCUUGUUUCCUGAUGCGUUGUGAUUCACUUACAAACUAUGUGUGCGGUGCACUGAGACACAGAAGGCGUUUAAAUUGUUACAUUUCUUCUUCUUACUGGUCAUCUUCUAUAUCCUCCUGCAAAGCUUCCCUCUGUUUCACCUGUUAUUUUCCAUUUUUGGUACCUUUCUGUAGUGAUGACAAUACAUGGAACAUGUGACAUGCAUAAAGCUUUGUAAAUUAUUAUUGUUUGUUAAGGCCAGCAUAGAUGAGGUUUACAAUGUGCUGACAGUUGAGAAAACAAUGGAAUGUAUUUUAAAGUGUAAUUUGAUGCAGGAGCUUAAAAAACAAAUGAUCUAACAAAUGACAGAUAUUAUAGAUUAUCCCUCUAAGCAGGUUGAACAUGUAACAAAACCUGAGUUACUCAUUAAAGCAACCCUUAAUAUAGUUAUGUGUUGUUGAAAUGAUAAUGAAGGUUAUUUACAUGACAUUUCUCUAUUGACAAAUUGCUUUUAACAACAAUGAAAGAGAAGUUGCAGGUCGCAUUUUAGCUCAGGGGUCAUAGGUUACUUUCAGCAGAGGGAUUCCUGUGUAAUUUAUUUUAGGAAUGUAUGUUGUUUUGAAAAGGGCCUGUAGUUUCAGGUCAAAAGGAAAUUCAUGAGAACUGGUGGAGUCUGUUUGUGUUGUCAUUUUCUGUGUUGGCUCAUUAAAUUACCACACUUGUGUUUUGGCUUGUUUCAGCUCAUUUACUACAAAGCAUGUACUACUGUUACAUGCUUUCUACCAUAAAAGUGUUUUUUCUGCUAUUCAGGCGGUCACUGAUUCAUGCUGUCAGACUAGAAACUUGCUUGUGACAGCCAAUCCAUCACAUUAGAUUUUUAGUGUUUUCUUUCUGUGGUAAUGCACUGGAUCAAAGCAUGUA